GACGAACGCUGGCGGCGUGCUUAACACAUGCAAGUCGAACGGACAGGCCCUGCUUUUGUGGGGUGCUCGAGUGGCGAACGGGUGAGUAACACGUGAGUAACCUGCCCUUGACUUUGGGAUAACUUCAGGAAACUGGGGCGCAUACCGGAUAGGAGAUCCUGCUGCAUGGUGGGGGUUGGAGAGUUUCGGCGGUUGGGGCUGGACUCGCGGCUUAUCAGCUUGUUGGUGGGGUAGUGGCUUACCAAGGCUUUGACGGGUAGCCGGCCUGAGAGGGUGACCGGCCACAUUGGGACUGCGAUACGGCGCAGACUCCUACGGUACGCAGCAGUGGAGAAUCUUGCACAACGGGCGGAAGCCUGAUGUAGCAGCGCCGCGUGCGGGAUGCCGUCCUUCGGGUUGUAAACCGCUUUCGCCUGUGCCGAAGCGUUAUUGACGGUACUGGGUAAAGAAGCACCGGCUAACUACGUG
rnacentral:rRNA from 1 species